rnacentral:rRNA from 1 species
GACGAACGCUGGCGGCGUGCUUAACACAUGCCAGUCGAACGGAAAGGCCCUGCUUUUGUGGGGUGCUCGAGUGGCGAACGGGUGAGUAACACGUGAGUAACCUGCCCUUGACUUUGGGAUAACUUCAGGAAACUGGGGCUAAUACCGGAUAGGAGCUCCUGCUGCAUGGUGGGGGUUGGAAAGUUUCGGCGGUUGGGGAUGGACUCGCGGCUUAUCAGCUUGUUGGUGGGGUAGUGGCUUACCAAGGCUUUGACGGGUAGCCGGACUGGGAGGGUGACCGGCCACAUUGGGACUGAGAUACGGCCCAGACUCCUACGGGAGGCAGCAGUGGGGAAUAUUGCACAAUGGGCGGAAGCCUGAUGCAGCAACGCCGCGUGCGGGAUGACGGCCUUCGGGUUGUAAACCGCUUUCGCCUGUGACGAAGCGUGAGUGACGGUAAUGGGUAAAGAAGCACCGGCUAACUACGUG